rnacentral:pre_miRNA from 1 species
AAGUUACUCCCUCCGUUCGGAAUUACUUGUCGCAGAAAUGGAUGUAUCUAGACGUAUUUUAGUUCUAGAUACAUCCAUUUCCGAGACAAGUAAUUCCGAACGGAGGGAGUACAUA